rnacentral:lncRNA from 1 species
GCGCUGAAAGUAAUAGUCCUCAAGCUGACGUGCUGCAACUUGAAACAGAUCAAAAUUAUCCUUCACACCAUCCUUCCGAAGAAGGUUCUCCGCAAGGUGCCGAGUGCACCAACGAUGAUGCAAAGGUGCAUAACCCUCUAUCUGUUCUUGCACAGCAUGAAGUAUGCCCUGAUGCCUAUCGGAUAUGACGCCAACCUCCCUACCAGGACCAACCACAUGUAUCCGGACUAGUCUUAAGAACCACCCCCAACUGUCAUUGUUCUCCCUCUCAACCAAUGCAAAUGCCAAAGGAACCAACAUAUUGUUCGUGUCACAAGAUAUGGCUAUAAGAAGUGUGCCUCUAUAUUUGCCAAUCAAAAACGUACCAUCAAUAGAGAAAACAGGACGACAGUGCCUAAAGGCUUCCACAGACUGAGGGAAGCACCAGAACGCACGCCCGAAUAUCUGUCUCCCGUCCUUCCAAGCAUUUGGCUUUGGGAUGUACUCAUAAUGCAUGCCUGGAUUCACCGCUUUAAUUGCAUUAAAAAGCACUGGCAGCUCCUCGUAUCCAGACUCCCAAUCCCCAUAAAUCAUCCUCCACGCUCGCUGCUUAGCCCUCCAAGCUUUACCAUAAGUUAUCACAUAUCCUCCAUAAAUCUCCUCAGCAGUUCUUAUAAUUGUUCUCACUUUCAUGUUCGGUUGUUCCUUCAAUAUUCCCAUCAACCGCUUCGCAAUGAGGGUAGAUGUUAGCUGCGGAUGUCUCACUGUAAGCUCAUGGUCAGCACAAUUGUGUGGACCGACAACUUUUGUGAUCUUCCACUUCCCGGUGAUAUUUUGCUUUCUUGCACAAACCCUCCAUGGACACCGUUCCUUGUCACACACAACUGUGUAACGGCGCUCCGCAUAUGAAUGCAACACUUUGUACGGUCUCUUCCGUAUCACCGCAAAAGCUUGCAACCAUCUCUUCAAUGCGGGAAGAUCCUUAAAUACCCUACCCUCCUCAAUAACCAUAUUAGGACCAGCUUCAGGAGCUUCUAGGAGCUCAUCAUCACGUCCUUCUGCAAACGCCUGAUCGGAAAGACUCAGGUCGCUAAACUCGUUAACUAUCGGAUCACGACGUCCGGGGAAUAUACGCCUGAACAUCUCAAUAUCACUCUCUGUCAUCUCUCCAACAGGACGAUCAUCAUCAGAAUCAAGAUCCACUCCCAUCUCGUAUGCAUCUUCAUCAUUCAAAAUUUCAACACUAUUAGAGCCACGCAAUCCAUCUCCACAUUGCACUUGCGCAUCAACUAGAGGCACAUCCACAUUUUCUGGAAUAUCUCCUGCGCCAUCAAGUACAAAUAUGAGUAAAGAAUAAGUGGAUGGAACAAAUGGAUUAUCUCUCAUCAAUAGAAACCGGUUAGACACUUACUCGGAUCAUUCUGAGUGAAAAGAAACUCAUUAGGAGAGUCCGCCACAUCAUCAACAAUCCGACAACCAUGGCCAACUACUUCAUUAGGGGCAGAUUCAGCAUUGGGAAUAGUAGGUGCAACAUCCACAUCCAUAACAGGUUCUGGGACGGGAGGAUCGAAAUGUGCCCGUUCACCCAUUGGUCGGGAAAACCGACGAGGAUUUCGAUCAACUCUCACCGGACGAACAACCACUUCAACACUUGGGAAAUGACCAUUCAUAACCGUCCUCACAUAUUUCUCCCACUGACCUGCACACCGAAUUGGGACCAUCUUCCUUUGAAUGUUGAGAGGGGAACCUAGGUGAAGUAUGCCCUCGACUGUGAUUUCAUCAUUUUCAUGACAAUGUAACUCCUCCCGAGCCCUAGCAACCAACUCACUAAACGAUGGUUUCUCAUCGAAUAUGACAACCUCGCACUGCAUGCCAACAAACUUAACACAUCCAUAUUCAUCCCUUUCCACAGUGCCUCCGUAAUAUAUGCUCACUACGUUCUCCAUCUAGUAUAUCAAUAUAAUGACGCACAAUUCAUUUAGUCCAUAAUAAAUUAAACAUUCUAAGUCUAGUAUGAAAUCAGAUAGUAUCAAUUGACUACUAACUAGUAAAUACAACUAACUAACUAUGUCACAUAUACUAACUAACUAUGUCACCUAAUAUGUACAUACGUACUUACCUAUACAACUACUUAACUAAAUAUCGUAAUAACUAGUUUACUAUGCUAUAAGUUAUCAUAUCUAACAAUUAUAUCUAUCUGUCAACUUAUCUAUCUACCUAUUUUAUCUAACAAUUCUACCUACCUAUCUAAAUUUUACCUAACUACUAUGCUAUUAGUUAUCAUAUCUAACAAUUAUAUCUAUCUGUCAACUUAUCUAUCUACCUAUUUUAUCUAACAAUUCUACCUACCUAUCUAAAUUUUACCUAACUAUUCUAAUUUAUCAAUAUUACUAUCUAUCUACAUUAUACAACAAUUAUACAACAACUAAUACCUUCGAUCGGCCGGGAGCGGGCACACAACGGGGGGCGGCCGGCCACAGUCCACGGCGGGCGCUGGAGCCCGGCCGGGGGGCACCGGCGAGCGGGGAGCCCGGCCGGGGGGCGGCCCUCCGGGCGGGGCGGCCGGGCGGGCGCGCGGGGCCGCCGGGCGGGCGCCGGGCGGGCGCCGGGCGGGGCGCCGGGGCCGCCGGGAGGGGCGGCACGUCGGGCGGGCGCCGGGAGGGGCGCCGGGGCCGCCGGGCGGGGCGGCGCGUCGGGCGGGCGCCGGGGCCGCCGGGAGGGGCGGCGUGUCGGGCGGGCGCCGGGCGGGGCGGCGCGGUGGACGACUACGGAGCGGGCGGGCCGGCACGAGAUGUGAGCGAGAUGCAAAAUCAAACGGCGCAAAAGGAAGGGGGCCCGUUAUGGUUGAAGGCUUGGCGCCACAGAUCUUAGCGCCGAGGCCUGGCGCCGAGCCUUGGCGCCACAGAUCUUGGCGCCGAGGCUCGGCGCCAUGGAUCUUGGCGCCAAGCCUCGGGCCACGUCAGCGUCCACGGCGCCACGUCGGAGGCACGGCGGAGGGACCUUGGCGCCAGGACGGCUGGCGCCAAAACGUUAUACCUUGGCGCCAGCCAUCCUGGCGCCAAGCUGAGGGUCCAUUUUCGGAAUUGGUUUCGCCAGGGGUCUAUUUGUGAGAUUUUUUCGCGGAAUUGGUUCCAUGUUUUUCCCUAUCUCCAGGGGGUGUUUGGAUACUAUAUGUUAAAUUUUAGCAGUGUCACAUUGGAUGUUCGGAUACUACUAAUGAGGAGUAAACAUGAGCUAAUUAUAAAACUAAUUGCAGAACCCCUAUACUAGUUCAUGAGACGAAUCUAUUAAGCCUAAUUAAUCCAUCAUUAGCAAAUGGUUACUGUAGCACCACAUUGUCAAAUCAUGGACUAAUUAGGCUUAAUAGAUUUGUCUCGCGAAUUAGACUCCAUCUGUGCAAUUAGUUUUGUAAUUAGCUUAUAUUUAAUAAGCCUAAUUAGCAUCCAACGUCCGAUCAAACGGGACCCUAGUUAUCGUCUGAGGUUAUAUAAAUUUUUUGUAGCUGAUUGAAAAUUUGAAAUUAUUGAUUGAUGAUUCCCCUUGUUGUUAGCAACAUCAUCAAUAAUAGGCCAAGAAACAAAUAGAUAGCAUCACUCCUUUUCAAAAGCAGCCACUCGUUGUUAGCAACAUCGUCAAUGAAUUAGUGAGGUGGCCAAGUCGUUAUCGUUAUCAAUAAGCUAAGUGCAUCCGCACACGGCACACUUAAAUAAUAGGCAUAUCUAAAACGUGUUUGACAUUUUUCUAAGGAGGUUCGACAAGUACAAAAGUAUUCCCUCCGUCCCAAAUUACUAUUCAUUUUGACUUUUCUAGAUAUAAAUUUUUUACUGCGUAUCUUGACAUAAUAUAUAUAGGUGCAUAGUAAAAGUUAUAUAUCUAAAAAGUCAAAAUAAUAGUAAUUUGGGAUGGAGGGAGUAUUGACUAAAGGGGCAACGUUUAGUCGAUAUGUGUAUAUGGCGAAAGCAAAGCAUUCAGUUUUCAUGACUGAAGUACUUGACAUCGGUGUGCUCCCAACCCUUGUGAUAAUUGAAUAUGCUGAGCAUAUGUGACAUAACAUGAUAUCUAAAGUACUUUAUUUCUCCUUGUCUAUCCUUUGGAUGUAGUGCUUUUUGUAAGAGGUCAACGGUGGAAUGAGCUUAGCGUUCCCACCUGAGAUUUAAUGAUAAAAAAAACUCAAAGUAAAAUUGGCAAAAGUUUACGCAACGGUUUUGAAUACUUGCUCUAACAUCAGAAAAGUUGUGUUGUGACAACUGACAAGGAAUGGAGGUAUAAAGAGAGAUGGGAGAGCAAAUGCAUUUUUUUUUAUCCGAUUAGCAUGUCAUGACUCAUGAUGUGGUGUGUAAUGACGUGCAUGCAAAUGAUUCAAUUCAACAAGCGCCAGCCCGAGCUCACAGUAUUCAUCUUCUUCCACGCGCAUCGCCACACUCACAGCGGACACACAAACGAUGCGCAGAACAUCCAGGGAAACAGGGCGGCACCACGGGUUCACAAGACCGCGCUUGUAUUGUUUCGUCCGCGUAACCGCGUUCAUCUUCAUCGCCAGUGAACAACGACGUGCUCCAGCUGUUCCCUCGCGGCCUCGCAACCAAAAAAAAAAGUGCUCCAGCGUGCUGCGUACGUACCGCCGUGUGUGUAUGCGCCACGGUGCUCCUCCCUUUCGGCGAACCAAAGCCAGAAGCCCAGAACUAGCAGCGGCACGCAUCGUCGCAACCUCAUUGCGCGCAUCAGCUGGCAGCAGCGCACGGCGGGCGGCCAGUGCUUGCUGCCAGCUUCCUCGUCCCGUUCAAGAACGCCGGUGCGCGAGGACGGCGUUGCCGUGGGCCGUGCCCAUCUGCCUGUCCAGCUUCGCGGCCAUGGAAAGGUUCGUGGAGGAGAAAUGGGCGAGCUCCUCCGCCCACCCAUCGACGCCGCGGCGGCGUCUCCCAUCGUCAGGUCCGCCGCCCCCUCCCAAGUCUGAACUGGCCGAGCGGACGUAACGCGUUUGAUCGAAUAGCCGACGUCCUCAUUUGUUUCACAAAAGAAAAGUUCAAUUCUUUGGGCUGGGCUGCCGUUGUGCUACUUGUCGGUCAAUGGGCUUUUCCCCCUUGUGUCUGGUCUCAAAAAGGACUUGCUGCUCCUCUUUAAAAAAAAGAAACAGAAAAGACUUGCUGCCAGGUCAGUUCGAAACAGCGAGAGCCGAAGCUGCCGACGGCGACAUGCAUGACAGACAUGGGACCGUAUAAAUGAGAGCAUGUUUGUUUCUUUAGCACCUCAAAAUUCCUGUCACAUCGAAUGUUUAGAUACUAAUUAGGAGUAUUAAAUAUAGGCUAAUUACAAAACCAAUUGCACAGAUGGAGACUAAUUUGCGAGACGAAUCUAUUAAGCCUAAUUAGUCCAUGAUUUGACAAUGUGAUGCUACAGUAAACAUGUGCUAAUGAUGGAUUAAUUAGGCUUAAUAGAUUCGUCUCGUGAAUUAGUCUCCAUCUAUAUAAUUAGUUUUAUAAUUAGCUCAUAUUUAGUCCUCCUAGUUAGCCUUCAAAUAUUCGAUGUGACAUGAAUUUUAGUCACAACUAAAGAUCCAAACACCCCCUGAUUCUAGAUGCCCUAAAAAAUUUAUAUAAACGACUCUCUAACGGCAUGUUCGCUUCAGCUUAUUCAGUCAGCUUAUCAGCCACCAAACAGUAUUUUCCUCUCACAACAAAUCAGUCGUUUCAACUUUUCAGCUGGUUUAUAAGCUGAAGCGAACAGGUCUAAGUUUUUAGCAAAAUCAUUUGGUUUUUGCUUGAGGGGGGAGGGGGAGGGAGAGCAGUAACCGGAAAGAAAGCCGAAGAGGACACAGGAGAAAUUCCGCAGUAUCACCAUGGCCAUUGGCCAUUGCCACGCGCUCCCUUGUCCGAGCAUGAUGGGUGUUGGCCAACGGCCAUUCAAGAACAGCUACAGAUGGGCCUGAUAGCUCCAUUGGAACAGCAUCACUAUUCAUUUUUUUAAAAAUAAAAAUAAAAAUAGCAUCACUAGUAUCCAAAAGCGCCGUCCAUGGGCUACUAGUGUAUGUCUUAAAGAAGACAACAAGAAGCACUGCGUACUUAAAAACCUUUUAAAAGAAAAAAUAGUUAAAGUGUCACUGUGACCCCAAAGGCUGUGGCUGUCGUCAGCUACACCGUCAACACGAAUGUUCUAGAGGCUGGCUGCCGCGCUAACAGUACCAUUUUUGUGAAACAAAGCGCAGAAGGGUCUCGCAGCACUUCUUGUUCGAUGAACACUCAAUAUGGCAAAUAGGAGUACGUAGGAGACUAGGAGUGAUGCAGUUACACCCUGUUGGUAAUUCUAGAGCCUUCGUUGAAUCCUUCAAUUCCCACUUGGCAUCAAUCGUGUGCAGAGUAGAACUCUUUCCAACUUGCAAGUAAAUCCUUGCACAAAUACAAAUCUUCAAAAUGUAUUUGUGCAAAUUAUAUACCUGCAAAGAAAAGGCAAAUCAUAUGUACGGAGUGCUAGCAAAAAUUUCGAGAGGCUCGCCUAAACGAGACGGAUCAGGGUCCCCGGAUCCGAGGCGAUUCGAUCACCCAAGAUACACCUCGAGAUCUCCGCUGCACCCCGACUCAUCAUGGAGUCAUGGGUCUGACUGAACUCGCGGACCCACUCGUCAGGCUACCUACGCCACUUCUGACGUCCCCGGAAAGAGCUCACCCCUUUUACGCCUCAUCAGUCUCCCCUUUAAAAGCUGCGGAUAUUUUGCUCCGCCUCCUCCGAUCCCUUCCCCUCCCACACUAGGAGCCCGAAAAGACCAGACUACCCCCCGCUCCCCCGGAAGUCAGAGUGGGGGACUGGGAGAGGACGAUAGGAUAGCGCAUCGUCGUCGCACCUGUCGCCGGCGAGCCAGACCGGAGCGAAGCAGGCAGCGAUGGCGGUCGCGGAGCUGUGGGAGACGCUGAAGCAGGCGAUCGUGGCGUACACGGGGCUGUCCCCGGCGGCCUUCUUCACGGCCGUGGCGGUGGCGGCCGCGCUGUACCACGUCGUGUCGGGGCUCUUCGCGCCCCCGCCCCCGCCGCCGCCGCGCCCGCGGGAGGAGCCCGAGGCGGAGCCGCUCCCGCCGCCCGUGCAGAUGGGGGAGGUCUCAGAGGAGGAGCUCCGCAAGUACGACGGCUCCGACCCGAAGAAACCGCUCCUCAUGGCCAUCAAGGGCCAGAUCUACGACGUCACGCAGAGCAGGUCUGUUCCCUGCACCAAAACCCUCACUCCCCUCCUGUUUCGAUGCAUCCGUCGUUUUGUUCUAAGGCUUAGAUUUUGCUAGCUGCCCGAUUCUACUGUAGCCGAGUCCGUGUAUGAUUGUCGAUCGAUUGGGUCGUAUACAAGAAACAGCUGAUACUACUUGUUACUUAUGAUUUUUUAUGAGGUCGCAUAAUUGCCGUGUUUUGUUGUGUAGUCAGUACUAUUUCCGUGACCUGACUGAGUAGGGUUGCCGAUUAGCACAUAACGAUUAAGCCAUCAAUUCAGUGAUAGGAAGCUACUUCUUGCCCAAGUUUUCCAAUGCAACUGUAGAUUUGUCUUUACCGAUGAUUGGAGUGAUCCGGAUGAUAUAUUUCCUUGAGUUUAUGUGAGGCAAUUGAAUGUCUUGUCGUAUUUGAGGUCUUUGAACUGGUUGUUUCCAUCUUCCUGGCUGACAAGAGUAAUCCAGGUAAUAAAUUCUGCUGGAAUUUCUCGUUAAAUGUUUUGUCUCUAUUGGGGUUUCAGUUGCGUGGGUGCAUCGAUUGGUUGAAACAAGAUAUGGAAACUACCUAUCAAUUGCACUUUUGUUUGUUAGUAAUGAUUUACCGUGUUGAUGAUUUGUAACGCUUGUAACCGUCUGGUAUUUCUGCUCAUCAAGUUCAAAACAUUGCUAUUUACAGAAUUUAUGGGUAAUGUUUGAUUGAUUGCUAGUUGUGUAAUAUGAAAUCCCACAAUGCUAGCUAGGGGAUGAUAAGUUCUUGUAGUGGGUGGAAUCGCGGGCUCACAGCGGACAUUUGGGGUCUUGACAUCAAUUCCAUAAUGCUUGUUGGGGUUGUUUUUCCUGCCUUUUUCUUCGUACAAACUUUGGAUGUUUAUAAAGCUUGAUAUAUCGUAAUCAUUUGUAUACUUGAUUAUAAUCUUUUUAGUACCUGUUGACUGUGUGCCAGCUGGGGCUUUAGAGUUGCAAGUAUAUUUGGUAACGAUCGCCUGAUUGAAUAUAGAGAUCCCAUGUUUAUAAUAAGUGAGAAUACCAAAUGUUUAGCAGGCUAGCAGCUGUGCCUGAAUGCUGGAUGUGCAGAAGCCACUUUCACUAUGUGCUUUUCAGUCGGCAAUUGAAGAAUUAGUGAAAGUUGUUUCCCCCCUUUCCUGUUCCUGUAUUUUGUAAUAUUCUGGUGGUUAGGUACAGGAAUGGAAUAAGAUUUGUGAUUGCUCUUUAUCUAUCCCUUGGUAUGCGAGAUGUGGUUGCUGGUUUACCCCUUUUUUGUGGGCAGAUGAUAAUAUUUUUAAGUUCUUGGAUCUGCUAUAUCAUAUGCAGGUCUAUCCUCAAAAGUGCACGCACUAUCCAUCACAAUCAUUUCUGUAUUGCACCGCUGUCCAUGCAAAACACAUGCAGCCUUUUUGGUGAGGGGUCAUGUUACAUGAUGCAUGCAUACUGUAUUCAAGAAUAGCUGUGCUAAUUUUGAUAUGUUUGGAUUAAUUUGUGCCCAGAAAUGCGAUGUGAAGUUCUCUUACAUAUUGAUUCUUAUUUAUUUCCACAUUUUACUUACAUAUUGCAUUAUAUAAUUAUUUUGUUUGUUUUACUGUCACUACGCAGGAUGUUCUAUGGACCUGGUGGACCUUAUGCUCUAUUCGCUGGUAAAGACGCCAGCAGAGCCCUAGCCAAGAUGUCCUUCGAGCCACAGGACUUGACCGGUGACAUCUCUGGCCUUGGUCCCUUUGAGCUGGACGCCCUGCAGGACUGGGAAUACAAGUUCAUGAGCAAGUAUGUGAAGGUCGGUACUGUCAAGAAGACCGUCCCUGGUGAAGAGGGCAACACCGCAAGCUCAGCUGCUGAAACCAGUGAGACCGCCGCCGAGGCACCAGCAACCGAAGAGAAGCCGAGGGAGGUAGCUGCGGAGGAGGUGAAGGAGAAGGAAGCUGCCGCUGUCGAAGGAGCCAAGGAAAGCUAGAGCGUUUCAGAGCUCCCUGCAUAUGCUGCAAUAAAUGGACAUGUUGGAUGUCAGGGCCCUGCCGUCCUCUUGUCAGUGACAUAGGCUGUGUAAUCUGGAUAUGUGAUCUGUACCAGCUCCAUGGCCCUGGAGGUGCUGGUGAUUUAUAUUAUAGUCGGUCAUUGGGAAUUUGGAGUACAAAGACAUCCGGCUGUGCACCCCCUACCUCUGUUAAUGUAGUAAUGUACUCAAUCGUGUCGUGGAUAAUAGGCGCUCUUGUAAGAUAGUUUCAUGCGCUGCAUUUUCUUUCCCCCAUACAAAGCAGAGAAGCAGCAUCCAUGAUUUGGGUUGGAAUGCAAAAACUUGUGAUAUGGGUUCCUUGCGAGAUUCCACCACAUGGGAAUCUUGUGGAAAUCAUGCGUCGUGAAAAUUCUUGUCAAGAAGACUGACGCUGGGUCAAAACCACGCAUGGGAAAGUUCAUGUUUGGCAUUGUCAAUUCAACAUACGACAAAGGAGCGGUCUCUGUUUGAAUUGAUGUAGAUAUUAUUGAUACCGAUGGCACCCCUUCCCCGAAGUUACGCUAGUCCUGUGCAGUGUCGCCAAAGUCCGUGGCCAGUACUGCAGAUAUACUCUUAUGUUCUCCUUUUUAUGUCAAUAUUUUCUGUGAACAGAUCAAUCGUAAAUAUUUUUUUGAGAUGAUCAGUAAAAUGUUUUUCGAACAAAUGUAGAUGCGGCACGUACUUGGGAACGAACCCGACGUCAAAGAAAAAGGAAGCAGAGGGGUUAGGUUCCUUUCUUGGGCUUCUACGCGCUAUUCUACUUGUGGGCCUUUACACCCGUUAGGUUUCGGCCCAUCACAGGCCAGUGCCCGAUCGACAGAGAGUUCGCAGCAGCGCGUGUAGCCGUUUAGCCCCACCUCGCCCAGCCAGACCGAACGAAGGCGUCAGCUCGCUAUACAAUCCGACCCAGGGCUCCGUUCCAAAGCAUACCUUUCUCGGCCUUUUGGCUAAGAUCAAGUGUAGUAUCUGUUCUUAUCAGUUUAAUAUCUGAUACGUGGGCCAUGCGCCCACUUCGAUAUUAAAUUUAUUUUUUGUGGGGGAGGGUCCAUCACAGUGGCUUGCCACUGGGUCCCUCGAGCGUCGCCUAGGCGUUGCACUGCUGCUCAGGCCUGGCGCACCCCAACCAAUUCUAAAUCAAAUUUUGGUUUCUGAUCACUCGCAAAGAGUGUGAACGGCAAUUGUGUGAAAGGUGCUGCUUCAGUUGAAUUAAAGAGGGAAGCAGACAAGAUCUUUCCUGCUGGCAGCGGGUGUUCAGUAGUCACUGUUCUGAAUGGCGUCUUGCUCCGUCGUGACCGCACCGGCGCUCUCCGCCUCGUCUCCGACCAGCCGGCGGCGUGCGACUGCGGCCGUAUCUCUCCCUGGUGUUCGCCGCAGCCGGCUCCCGUCACGGGGCGUGCGGUGUAGCGCCGGGCAGGGCGGCGUCAAGGUCCCGGCGAAGCGUAAGCUCCUGCACUGAAGCCUCAAUCUCUCGCGUGGAAUUCGCCUCCGAAAUCUGACGGUUUUGACGGGGUGGGUGGGUGCCGCAGUGGCGGAGCUGUGGGAGGCCGCGAAGGGCGCGCCGCCUCUCGCCGUGCUCGCCGGCGUGGCUGCGGCGGUGGCGAUCUACAAGGUUGGGUCCGGUCUCCUUGCGCCGCGCCCUCCCCAACCCCAGCGGCUGGAGACCAAGACGGCCCCGCCGCCUCCAGUGCCGGAGCCGGUGCAGGUGGGUGAGAUAACUGAAGAGGAGCUGAAGCAGUACGACGGGUCCGACCCCGAGAAGCCACUGCUGAUGGCCAUCAAGGGGCAGAUCUAUGACGUCUCCCAGAGCAGGUUGCUUCCUUGAUUCCAUCAAACCUGAGCCUCUAAUUCUUCAUUCAUCCCGUUGCAACGUUGCUCUGCUUUUCAAUGGUCGUUUAUGGUUGUUGCUUCUAAGUUUAUUCAGAGUUUUGUUCUGAUCGACUGUUCAAUGAUAGUUAUUCAAUGGUUCAUACCCUUAAUUUGUAGAACUUGCUGCUGUAGACAACAACGCCACAUGAAAAAUAAGAAGCAGUGCUCUUAAUUUGAAGAGUUCUUUUGCCCUACUUUGUGAAAUGAAGCAGGCAAUGUUCUGAAUUUGGGAUGUCAAAAAACUGUACGUUGUGACCAAGUGGAUUGAGAGUAUGUUUGAAAUGUCUUUGUUUUGGUGAGUGGAUUUUCAGUAUGCUUUCUGUCCAGUCAAAACUGAUGUCGUGCUGUCAUGCAAUUCUGCAAAUACAAUGCAAAUUGUAUUGUGAUGGAGGUUCUGAUGCUUGGCAUGUAGGUUCAGUCAUUGAGUGUAAAUCUACAUGGUAUGUCUUGGAUUGAUCUGGGUUCAGUCAUUGAGCUAAUCCACAUAGUGUUUGAUGGUCUUUUUUUGAUCGCACUCAUAGUAAUAGUACUAACACUCUUUGAAUGAUUAAUUUGGUACUGAAUUGUACAAUGCUAUGCCAUGUAUGGGUACCGUACUUUCUUCUCUGAUAUCAGCAGCAAUCAUGUUUUUUUCAUUUUAUUUUCUUGCCAUGCUAUCCUUUGGUUUUAUUGGUAAGAACAUCAGAACAUGUCCUUAUCUUGUGUUCUAUAAAAUCUGAAGCUCACUGGUUUCUCCUCAUAGAUAGUUGAACCAGGGACACUUUUAUUUGGAAACGUGAACUCGUGUGAAAGAUGUGUGCCGCAAUUAGGACGUGUUUAGGACUGUCCCAACAACACCAGCAUAUUCUGCUUAAUUUCUACUGGACAUGUGUUUACCAAUCCUAAAUCUGAUCUUUUUUUCCUGAAGGAACUUAGUUGGUUCACCUUUCUUUUGAUGUGAUAAAUAUCUAAGUCUCAUAUCUCAUUGUCGUCUAACACUCUAACCUAAUAAUUUAUAUUUUGAUCGAAUCAUUACUUUCAUGUGGUACUACUGUAAGCUCUUGGAGAGCAACAAUUCCUCUGAAACGUUAUAAGCUGCACUGGAUUUUUUUUCCCAUUUAGCUUGCUGGAGGAUGAGGCAUGAAUAAGCCUUUUUUUUUUCCGAUGAGAAUAAUUAGAUAACAUACCCCUUGCAGACUUGCAGUUCAAAUAACACGCAAAUACCAUGGAUUUUGUUGUGAACCAUUACAAAAUUUAAAUAUAUUCCUGCACUCCAAUGCAAGGACAUUUGCGUUAAUGUUGUGUCUAUUCAAAGUCUUCAUAUUCACCUACUGUCUUUAUCUUUAAGAUUACACUGUAUUUACCAUGCAUAAUGCAUUGUGUUUGACACUGAUGAUGAGUUAUGACAAUAUCUUUUGCUGUCUGUGAACUCUGCAGAAUGUUCUAUGGACCUGGUGGGGCAUAUGCGUUGUUUGCUGGUAAAGACGCCAGCAGGGCCUUGGCCAAGAUGUCCUUCGAACAGCAGGAUCUAAAUGGUGACAUAUCUGACCUUACACCAAUGGAGUUCAGUUCCUUGAAUGACUGGGAGUACAAGUUCACCAGCAAAUAUGUGAAGGUAGGAACCGUAAGAAGGGCAGCGCCUGCAGAAGAGGGUUAUGCUGGCAUUUCGCCUGAAAUACGGGAGGAAGUUAUGCCUAUGCCUGUGCUUGAGGCUGAGGCUGAGGCUGAGGCUGAGGCUGAGCCUGACCUGGAGCCCGAGCCGAUUGACGACGAAGCACCAUGAAAGGAAACACAGACAUCUGAGCAACGCGGGGAAGAACCAAAUGGAAGCCGGGGCACUACUGAUAGUGUCCCAAAGGGAGUUAGAAUUUAGGAAUAACCGAACGCGGUGCUUCAUGGAUGUUCGGAAGAAAUAGUAGAUGUGUACUCUUCAGUAGGAUGGAAUGGUUGGAUAAGAAUAUAUGAAGAGGUGUUCUAGCUCAGUGAUGUUCAUGUUCAGAAACGAAAAAAGAAAAAAGAUGCACACGUGAUGGAACAACUUAUCUCUUUUCUUUUCUUUUUUCCUUGGCUCACAUAGCUCCAAAAAGACAUUAUCUCCAUUUGAAUCGGGUUUUAAUCUGUCAGCUGCCAACUGUCUAAUUAAACAAUGGUAUGCAGUUGGACCAUACACAGCAACUGAUCAUCAUUCGCUGAUCCCAUACGCAUCAUCAUCUGAUCUUACUCUUCAAACUAACGAGUUUGAUAUGAAUCAGAUGUUAGGUUUUCGACACAUGGUAGUGGCGUGCUGCAACUGCUUCACAAUUAGUACCAGCAGUUUCUGACACGCAUCACUUGAUUCCAUCUCAUAUUGUCUUAAAGAUGGACUGAAGAGACUUCACUAUGACACUCCAGAAUUGUGUGCUCUCCAUAUUUUUGCCUGUUUGGAAUAUCACCAAGUUUGGAGGAAAAUUACCAAUUCCUCUGAAAUUCAGAAUUUUCACCUUGAGCAGUUGAGCUAGAUCCUAGAGGCUCAUCAGAUGCGCAACGGAAUUUUUCGCCUGCCAGAUGCCGAGAUGAAGCAAGCCGGCGGCAGUUCGUUGCAGCAAGGUCUGAUCACGUGAAUCCGACUAAGACUUUCGUCAAUCCUUUUGAGUCCACUAUCCACACAUGGUAGAAGGACUAAACAUAGUCUAAUUACAGAAUUAAUUGUACAGAUGGAGUCUAAUUCGCAAUCUAUCAUUAGCAAAUGGUUACUGUAGCACCAUAUUAUCAAAUUAUGGACUAAUUAGCACCAUAUUAUCAAAUUAUGGACUAAUUAGACUUAAUAGAUUCGUCUCACGAAUUAGACUCCAUCUGUGCAAUUAAUUUAGUCAUUAAAUUAUGUUUAAUAUUUCUAAUUAGUAUUAAACAUGUGAUGUGACAUGUGCUAAAGUAACUAGGCUCCUCCUCUUUCCGAGUGCAAUGUAUAGUCCUUCUCGGUAAUCGAAGAGGAAAUACUUGUGAGCUUGUGGGCCUUGUGGCAAUGAAAAGAACCGAAAAGAAGAAGCGGCAUCGAUGUUGUCUUGGGCUCUGACGGGCUACUUCUUUCGUGGGCCUUACAAGGAGAGGGGGAAACGCUCUCGCUGGGCCUCGGCGUAUUACAUGCACUCGACCGGCAUGGGCAUGGAACAUGCAGCGUGCCAGCGCGAGUAGCCGUUUAGUCCCACCUCGCCCAGCCAGACCGAACGAAGGCGUCAGCUCGCUAUACAAUCCGACCCAGGACUCGGUUCCAAAGCAUACCUUUCUCGGCCUUUUGGCUAAGAUCAAGUGUAGUAUCUGUUCUUAUCAGUUUAAUAUCUGAUAUGUGGACCAUGCGUCCACUUCGAUAUUAAAUUUAUUUUUUGUGGGGGAGGGAUCGCCACAGUGGCUUGCCACUGGGUCCCUCGAGCGUCGCCCAGGCGUUGCACUGCUGCCCGGGCCUGGCGCACCCCAACCAAAUCUAAAUCAAAGUUAUUUUUCAGCUUAACCUUGAGCGGGGUACUCUACGCGAACUUGAUUUCAGGUGGAGGGCAUCUGCGGCGGCACAGCUUGUGCCCAAGUGAUACCGGCCGGAUCAGCUUCGUAUCUCCGCUUGCCGGCGCGGAGCCGUCGGGUCUCCACGCGCCGUGCCCGGCCCCGUCGGCUGGUGCCUGGAGGCCUUGGCGGCCCUGGCGCCUUGACUUCCGGAGCCUGCGGCGGUGGUUGAGAUGUCGGAGGAGCUGCAGCGACCGACCCUGACAAAGCCACUUCCCAGUUCCCAUGGCCUUGACUUCUGGAGCCGCCGGCGGUGGGUGAGAUGUCGGAGCUGCAGCGACCGACCCCGACAAAGCCACUUCCCAGUUCCCAUGGCCGUGAGGGAGAUCUCUCUCUCAGAGCAGGUGCUCCAUCUCGAUCUAGCGCUGAUCUGUGGUUUGUUUUGUGAUACUCGAUUACGGUUGUAGCCUCUAAUGUCUAAAAUGCAUUCAGAGUUUAGUUCUGAUCAGGUGACCAGUGGUAACCAUGAAAAAUCAGAAAAUGCACUGGAAAUUCUUAAUUUGGGAUGUCAAAACUGUAGGUUGCCAACUGAGGGGACAGACAGAUGUUGAAAAGUCUUCGUUGGUGACCAUAUUUUGGGAACUGCUGCAAAUGCUUCUUUUUGUUGGUUAAUCAAACAAAAAGGUGAACCUCUCACCUCGGAUGUACCAGACCAACUAGUCAAUGGGAUGCUAAACAAAACAUUUGGGAAUGAAGGAAAACAUGUGGACUGCAGUCUGCAAUUCUGCAAACAUACUGCAAGUCUGCAAUGGUGCUCAACAUGCAAGCUCAAUUAUUGAAUGCCAAUCCACAUAGCAUGCUUACAGUUGAUUUUGGGUUUGAGUAACUGAACCUGAUGAACAUAGAUUGCUUAAAACGUGUGCUACCACUGCCAGUAGUUAGUUUCGUUUGAUUUGGGAUUUGUAUGCCAAAGUACUGCAGGAGGAUGGCUUGCCAGUAGUUCCUUUUGUGGUAUCAGGAAGAAUAUAAUCAUGUUUUUCAUUUGAUGUUCUAUAAAUCUGAAGAUUGCAAAUUUGUCCUCCUAGAUAGCAUGAUUGUGGACAAUUCUACUUGAUAGACAAAAUUGUUUGAAAUAUGUGCAGUGAUUUAGGGUUGUCUGAAACAAAGUACAUUUUCUACUGGGCAUAUACAGAACAUGUCAAAUAUUCUGGGCAAAAAACUUACUGGUAUACAUUUUAUGCUGUACUCGUAGCUAUCUCAGUGUAAUUGACACCGUCAAAUUGUUCCUUUUUGGAUGGGUGUGCCUUACAAACAGUAACUGGUAAUAGUAGGUAUUUGAUCGGAAAAUCCACAAUUUCCUUGGCAAGUAGGUGGGUACUUGUUGCUAGGUACGUCUUGUUCAGUACAUUAGAUAGGUGCAAUCAAGCUUUUCUGAGGAUUGGAGUGCAGUCCCAAUGCUUCACCAAACAUGUUCAGUAAAGGUUCUGAGGAUAGAUCCCUGGUGGAAUCGUUUGGUCAUUUAGGAUUUUAGUAAAAUGUAUGGCUGCACUCCAUGGAUAUUUGUAUUAAUUUAAGCCAAUUCAAGGUUUUUAUAUAACCACCUUGUCUCUUCAAAUACUAUCUCUGUACUUUAUUGUACAUAACAGUGUAACAGAAUGUGUCCGAUCAAAUUACAUAAAUUUUCCUUGGCAGUAAAAUAUAUAACACAACACAUCAUCUUUUGAUCAGGUUGCACGAAUUUUCACUCAAUUUCCCCUUUUCCAGGAUGUUCCAUGGAUCAGGUGGAGCAUAUGUUAUAUGCGAUGUUUGCUAGUAAAAAUGCCAGCAGAGCAUUGUCAAAGAUGUCCUUUGAGCUGCAGGAUGGUGGCUUUACGCAAAUCAAGCUCGGCUCCUUGAACGACUUGGAGUGAAGAUGGGAACCAUGAAAAGAACAGCCCCUGCAGAAGAAGGUUGCGCUAGCUAGCUUGAUCCUAAGCCCGAGCUGAAUGAAGAUGACGCACAAUGAAAACAAACAAACAUCUAAGUUCUGAGUUCUGAGCUGAAUGGACAUCACCAUGAAGUUGCUGAUGAAUGUUCCUGAGGGAGUUAAAAAAUAUUUGAAUACCUCCUUGCGCACGUCAGGUCUAAUGCUUGCAGAAAUGAUGCUUUAAUUUUACAUGUCUGCUGAGGUGUGAGUUGUGAGCUGCUAUAAAAUUGAAUGGUUGGAUAUGAUGGAUCCAUGAUCUAGUUCCAUGGUCUUCAUGUUGAAAAACGAGAUGCAUUGUUCCAUCAUGUAUGCAGAUCCCCCUGUAGCAACUUCCAAUGUUUGAGCAGCUUGCCCAAUUUCCAGUGUUUAUUUAGUAUAUAUGGCCAAUAUUUCCAGUACUUCAUUCAUACAUAAGUUCUUAGCCACAAUGCAACUGAGGAGCAGAUGAAGAUCGACGAGCAAUUUGCUCUUGUAUACGGAAAGAACAACAUUGAUUACCAGACUACCUCUUUCUAUUUACUGGUUGAGAGUCUUUGUGACUUCACUUAGUUCCAAGUUUGUCCAAUUAUCCUGCUAAAAUAUUAUCUCUUUGCUUGUGUCAUUUUCUGAUCUAUUAUCUCCUACUCAUAGACGAGAAGCGGUAGGAAAGGUGUCUUUUGCAUCUUGUUUGUUCAAACCUAUCAGAUCCACCUACGAAAGAAUGGUAUGCAUUUGGAGUAUACACGAACAACACUGUAUCGAGGUUUUAAACGUAAGAUGUCGUUAGGUUUUUGGAAUCGAUGCGAAAUAUCAUAUGAAUUGGAUUGUGCCCUUAUCCAUCAAUCAUCAUUUUUACUAUACCCAUCAUACAUAUCAACGAUCUGAUCUUAUCAUUGCUCUGGAAGUGGGCAAGAACACAUUUGCAUUCCUAGACUUCGAUGGCCGGCGCAUCGCUAUCGCCGUUGUGCUCUUCCAAGGAUCCAUCAGCCUCCUCCAUCACCACGUCCUCCAUCACCACAUCCUCCAGGAUAGCAGAGCCACCGCAGGCCUGCUGAUGCUCUUGCUGGGUGUGUUCAGCGACCACAACCUGAGACAUAACAAAGAGGCGAGGCAGGCCGUCGCCCACAGUCAGUGGCGUCCAUUGCUGCAGCAAAUUGCAUCCGCUGCAGAGCAGCUUCCACCUCCGCGACCGAGACGUUCCCCUCCCGUUCGCAGGUCGGAUGCCGAGCCCCAGUGAUGCGGUUGAAAACCGUACUCACAGGGAUAGUUGGAGCUGCUGCAGUCUUCCUUGGGCCGGACGAGGCUUCAUUCCUGAAGGCCAGAGGUGUAUCCAGGAUACCUAGCCGUGUUGCCAGCGCACAUGCUUCGUUGAUGUAGUCUGCAAGCAAGGCGCAGGUCGAGGUCACCGUCUUGCACGUGCCCGCUGCGCCCACUGAAUCGAGGAGGUGACCCGCGGCCUCCUUGAGUGCAGCAGCCUGCAUCUUGAAGAUGUUCUGCAGCACGUCGUCUUCCACAUGCUCCCGGUGCAGCUGCGCGGGCAGCGGGGGUGGAAUGGGAGCCGGUUCGGCCACCGGAACAGCCACGCCGUGCUGCCGCCCAUCACGGCGUGACCCACGUUCCCAGUCACGGCGUCGCGGGGAGCGCUCCCGCUCCCGGUGCACGCCGCCGGCCGACGCGAGCCACGCCCAUACAUCUAUGGUCUUCGUCUCCGCCGGGUACAAGAGAUUAGUAUCAAUGGUCUCCAGUGCGCAGCUCCCGCCGAUGACGCGCUCGACGAUAUCCGCGCGUUUUACAUAAUUUGAUCUUGCAAGAAUUAAUUCUUCGGAAGCUCAGCCCAACAACACAAGUUAAGAAGAGUUAUUAAAGGCCCAAGGCAACAAAAACACAGAAAGAGCCCACUCUCUGCCCAGUGCUCACGUUGCUCCGCACGAAGCCAACAAUAAAGCUUUGCCAACUGGCCUGACACUCUCUCCUCACGUUCUUCCCCCUCAGCUCAACCAACGCUGCUGUUGUUUAGUACCACACCGCCUGUUCACAGAGCACAGCACCAACUUAAAUGGCCAGUCCUCCGCGCCUCACUCGCCGAGCAGCUAGCGCCUGCUUGUAACCCGAGCGGGGGCAUUAAGGUGGUGCGGAUGCCAAUUGUGGCGCUUGGGCCUGGGUCUGCUGCCGCAAUCUGCGGCCCGCCCGUUCCAAGUUGCGUAGUGGGCCGUGGGUGCUUCGGCGAAGGCCUUGGCGUCCCGGCACCUAGAGCGGCGGGCAAUGCGUGAGGCUGGCUUCACAGAGCAGCGAAUACCGCCCGCUUCCAACGGUGGAAGGAUAACGGGCCGCUGCGCUUCAGUCCCGCUUAGGCCCAUGCGCCCUCUCUGGCAGACCACCAUCUUUUUGCAUUUUUUUUCCUUCGUUGGCCCUUGGCUCCGUGAAUCUCGAAGAACAAUUGGUUUGCCAAAAAAGAAACACACUCUGAUUCACAUGGUCAUACUCUGCUAGUGUGCCAAGUCAUGACGUGUCCUUGACUAGUGCUAAAAGACACGCAUUGCACUGCUUUGCCGGUACAGAAGAGCACAGAGUGCACCGUAUCACUCUGAAUUUCUGAUCGAUCAUUUUAGUCAUGCAUGGUUAUUAGGUCCAAAGAGUUUGUCUCAAAGGUCACAGCGCACAUGCAGACGUCCAUCAGCUCCACGGCUCUCUCCCGGCUUGCCGGCGACGAAGCACCACCACACACCCGUCAGCCGUUAGUUGGGAAGUACCGGGGCACAAGCUCCAGCCGGAACCGGCAACGGUGGAACUCCAAUUCUCCAAUGCUCUUCGUUAGAAUCCUAAACAACAAGGAGGGUACCUUGUCAACUACUGUUCUAUAUACUGAUCGGCGGACGAGAGGAGGAGGAAGAUCACCUGAAUUAUCGGUUAUGCAGGGGAUUUGAGCCUUGUGGCACUGGUCUCGCCGAUGCUUCGUACAUCCGCCCGGGAGGAGAACCACUUCCAAUACGUUCUUGCGUUCUUGGCACCUUGUAGAGCUGCUGCUCCACUGAAUAUGCCGGUCGCUCGUCUUCUUCCGCGACGAUUCGCCCUCCCUGACUGAAACCGGCAAACUCUGCAGCAAGUAGGCAUGCCAAGAAAAGCAGCACGCGCCAUGCUGGAAUCUCCAUUGACCUGGAGAUCAUUUUGCAGAGGAGGAGGAGGAAAGAUGGAGUGGAUGGGAGGAGUUCAAGCCAACCAUGCAAGUAAAGUUGAUUCUGAAUUUUGCUGAUCUGAAAGGGCUGCAGGUUUCGUUCCGGUCUUCCAGAACUAAGUAGCGGGGCAUCACAUGUUCGCUGGUGCGUCCAUGCUCCAAGUUUGGAUCCGUCCAAUAAUUGGAUGCAUGUUGGACUUGUCUAAUGCUUGACAGAUGCGUCCUCAUCUCAUAUGGAGUGACAUCAUGGCUUGUAUGAUUGAUUGCUCCGAGGCCAAAAGAGUGGUUGGUUUGGACGGCAGCCGGAUUUCAAACGUUUGGAAUCUGAAAGUUGACUGAACAUCCAGUGAAUGGAGAUCAUACUUUGCAUGUUUGGCCCCAUCUUGGUUCCAGAAGUUGCAAAUUUUUCAGGACUGAACAUCAUGGCUGAACAUUUUUUAAGGAUGCAUAGUUAUCCAGAAGUUCCAAAAUUUUCAUCAGUCAGCAGUUUAGCAUCUUCACUCCUUGAGAAAAAUGCAGCAAGUUACUGUUCAGGAAUUAGUUCUAGUCAGUUAGCAUCUUAAUGUGCUCUUGUUCUGACUCCUCACUCAUAGUUCCCAAUUUGUUCAUAACAGAGAAAAAUACCUUUUCUUCAUUUUGCCAUUUUCCGAUGAAUGAUCUAUCAGCUGCUCACUCGAAGACGAGAAGCGUCAGAAAAAAGAAUAUAUUAUCAUGUGUUGCUCCUUGUUUCCUUAGUCUAUCAGCUGCCACCUGCCUGACUAAACAAAGGUAUGCAUUUGGAUCAUACAUGAACAGUGCUGCUUUGAAGUUUUAAACUGUUACCUGUAACGAGACCUUUGGGAUCAACAAUGUCGAAGCUUUUUCUGAACCAUUGGAGUGUACUGCCUGACUCAUCAAUCACUCAUUGCACAUUCCUAUCAUACACAUUCGCAGGUCUGAUCUUAUUUUACUCCUACUCUGCAAAUGGACAAGAACACACCUGUACGCUACAGUCUUAGACUAGAAUGGAACCGUAGUCACACCGUAUGUCCGUAUCACAGAGAAGUACAUUGAAAAUACUGCAGCAAACUGAGCAUGUAGAGAAAGUUACAGUGAUUAUUCAAAAAAAGGAGAAAUUUACAGUGUCAAAACCACAACAGCAGAGAAUUAGUUCCCUUCCCAGAUUCUUUAUGUAAAGGAGGAAUUCCCUUGGAAUUUUGCAGAAACUGUACUUAUUUUGGCAAAAUCCCCGUCACCUCCAAUGCUCCGAAAAAGGCAUAGAGGAACCAAAUGCAAUGCACUUCUUUUCACUUCCACAAAGCUAUGUUUUACACCACUUCAUGAAAAAACAACAGCUUCUAAGAUCACUCUGAUAUCCCUCUCUCUCGUCGCAAGUGCAGACUGGUUUCUGAGCCUGGAGUCCGGAGCUGGUCAGUUGUGCAGGAAUUUUUUUUAAUUUUAACCCUUUUAAAACUAAAUUUUUAUAAAUAACUCCUCCCAAUCUUUAUUUCCAAGAAGUAGUCAUUUUGGUCACACCAAUCUCUAUGGCGCGACUAAUAUUUGAGUCGCGCCACAUGCAAUAGCGUGACUAACAUAACACAAUGGCAUGAACAAAUAUCAACAGCCGCGUGGCGAUGAUGUGACGAUGACGUGGCGGAGCGAGUCACGCCACGCCACGUGGCGUGACUCAGUCGCGCCAGAGAGUACGGCGAGUAUGGCGUGACCAGCUCCCCCCGUUGGUUGAAAAUGCAGCCUACUUAGCCAUAUUUCAACUUACGUUCUAAUUGACUAAUGAUCUCUUUAAAUUUAUCAAACUUGAUAAGAAUAAUAUAUAGAGUAUAUAUGUUCCAUUUUAAGCGUUUACACUCCAAAAUAUGGUUUGGAAAUCGAGGAAUCCAAUUUCUAAAUAGGCUAAGUGUUAUUGGUUGUAAGCAGAGAGAAAGCUAAACAGAACGUUAGCUUAUGCACGUAAUAGUAAAAAAAAACAGAGAGAAAAAGCUAAACGGAACGUAGAGAGGAGAAAGAGUAAUCUGUAUGCAGACAACGUUUAUACGAAUAAUGAUUGUAUAUGUAAAUGUGAGUUUCAACGAGAACUUAAAGUUUUAAGUAAUAAUGUUUAAAGGACUCAACAAACAGCUAGGAGGGACAACAUGAAAUUAUUCUUCAUCGUGUAGGCCUUUCUUCUUUAAUCUGGAGUGAGAUGACUGCAUAUAUCCAUGCCAAAAACUUUGGACAUGAAUGAAUCACAUCUGUGUGUACGUUUGCCUGAAUGAACUAUACCUACAGAAUUAAGAGAGCAUUAGCAUGAGUCAAUCCAGCUUAUAAAUAACAUGAGUCGGUCAGUGAUCAUUAAAGACAUUAUGCAUACUGUAGGGAAGAGAUUGAUUGGAACUAAAAAGUUAUGGCAGUGACCGCCCAUGGACAACAUACCUUAAUCACGUUAGUUGUUAUGAUCAUUUGGUUUGAUCUCUUUAGAUACAAGUGUACAACAAUAACGCUUAGCCUAUUUAGAAAUUGGAUUUCUCAUUUUUCAAACCAUAUUUUGGAGUGUAAGCACUUAAAAUGGAACAUAUAUACUCUAUAAAUUAUGCUUGUCAAGUUUGACAAAUUUAAGAGAUCAUUAGCUAAUUAGAAUGGAAGAUGAAAUAUGGCUAAGUAGGCUGCAUUUUUGUGCACUUUGGGUCCAACCAGAGCAACCAAGGGGGAGCUGGUCACGCAGAGGCUGGCGUGACUCGCUAUGCCACGUCAUCACCAUGCUGCCGUUAUGUCAUGUUAGUCACGUCAUUGCAUGUGGCGCGAUUUAAGUAUUAGUGGUGCCAUAAAGUUUGACGUGACUAAAAGUGCUACUUCUUGGAAAUAUAGAUCGAGAAGGAUUAUUUAUAAAAUUUUAGUUUUAAAAGGGUUAAAAUUAAAAAAAUCGUUGUGCAGUGGGUUUGGCGCCUGAGGCACCAACCUCUUGGACGCAACGAGCAUGUGCUUGCAACAUUGACCAAGGCGUCGCCCUGAAGCUGAAGAAGAUGCCUGCUUAGAGAAAUAGGCCGGUGGCAAGCCCCCUCCGCCGCUGCCGUCGUCGACACCCAGUUCUGCUACUCUCCGGCCAUAGCUAACGAUUGACAUGUCUGUCAUUACGAGAAGACUGAUGAGCAGCAGCAUUAGCAUGGUUUUCAGAGAUCUUCUCACCAUGAUGCGAUGCUUCAAUUCAAGAGAGAUGUUAGAGAAGAGAAGGUGAGGUAGAGGGAAUCAGGGAAGAAGAAGAAGAACUGGGCCCAGAAGUUUUGCACACAAAUCUGAUACUUCGCCGCUUUAUAGCGAGAAGGUUAUGGAUCACCAACUACUUUUUCCAAUGGAAGUCUAAGGAUUUAAUGGUGACGUGACAGAUUGAUUGUUCUCUUAUAACAUACCGCAUAGUCUUGAUUGAACAGUGCACAUGAAUCUCAAAGAACAACUGGUUUGCCAAAAGGAAACACUGGACUCUCACUCACACGGCCAUACUCUCUGCUCGGUUGCUCUGUCAGUGUGCCAAGAGCUAGGAAGGAUGUUUGCAGAGGCAUGAUGUGUACUUGGGCUAAAAGACACGCAUGUCACCUCUUUAGCAUGAGUGCCUGACAAAGAAGUCUUUUACCGGCACAGAAGAGCACAAAGUGCUCCGUAUCUUUCCGAUCGAUCAUUUCAGUCAUUGUUUAGGUCCCGAUUUUCGGGAAUUGAAUCCAGUGAAGAUUUUGGCUCAAAGGUCACAAAGUAGAAAGUACACGGGUGUCCAUCAGUGAUGAGUCAGAGCCAUGGCCUUUUCUUCAUAAACGAACAAAAAAAACGUUUUCUUUUUCCAUGAAAUUUUCUUGCCACGUGAGUGAAAUUUCAGCAGCCCGCAACACUUCACUGUCAGAGAAAUCAAACUCGUAAAAUUUCUCGCGCGAAGGCGAAGUGUUUCAUAAGCAUGUGGAUCUGUCCCGAUUGGCCAUCAUGUGUAUGCCACGUGCCUUAAGAUUUCAGUCAUUAAAACUCCAUCCGCACACCAGAUUUCUCAGCAGGCGGCAGCAACCAACCGAGCCCUGAUUUUUCUCCCCCGGAUUCCUCGCGGUCGCCGGCGAUGCGAUGUGACGCGAUCGCGUGGAAAACGACAUUGAUCGGCGGCGGCGUGCCGGACUCCGGCAUCUGCUGCUUGGUUCCCUUUCUUCUGCGUGAGACGGUGACGCACUGAAGCCGAAGAAGAGCGUGCGUUUCCCCGAUCUAUGUGAUUAGUCAGCAAAGCAGCCCAACCCAUCUUUAUUGGGCUACAAGGCUGGCCCAAUAGUGCUAGGAAUUCUGUGCUCUGCAGCCCACGCGGGAGGGUAUUAGCAAUGGCAAAGCAGCACAACCUGGCGUCACGGCCGCGGUGGUUAGUCCCACCCUGCUUAGUCUGAAGGUGAUUACCCAGCGAUCACACGUCUUAUAGAGCGGCAGCCGGAGGCUUGGAACUCAAGCAGCUGCGUGGUGAGCACAAAGCGAACUAUUCUUUCGCCUUUUACUAAAGAAUACCGUGUGCACGCCACAAUAAGCAGCAUACCCCAAUUUUUGGAGGGUGCUUUCUCCUUGAGGAAGCGCCCAACAAACUAAUUGUUCAAAAUUUUGAGGUUUCUCUUUACGGAUUAAAUUACGUUCUCUUCCGGGAGGUUCCAAACGGUUCAGGAUUUAAAGGUGAACACUCUACCCUUGAAUACUUGAGAAUCGCCCGCAGGCCCUUCAAUUGUAUUGUUCAAAAUCUUAAAAUUGUUCAAUUUCUCCUCUUCUCGUUGAAGAAGCCCUCGAUCUUCUGCUGAAUCCGAAUAAUCCCCAAGAGAAAGCCAUCUCAAAUGGCAGCGCCUAGCCCCAAAUUAGUGAUGUUUUCGACGACUGGCAUUCGAUUGACGAUUAAGCAAACCUUCAAUCGACUGACGUCGAGAAAUUCUGCUAUUUGUUUAUCCAUACAUGCAUGAACAUUCGGGAAGAACAUAUCAACAUUGGAGAAACAACAACAAAAAAAGAAGACAACAGAUAACUGGAUUCGAACCAUCUUAUAUUCUGAUCUCUUGACAGGGGAAACUCUACAGAAAUGUUAAUGUUCAGCAGUCUGAAUACGAGGCUAAAGUAAGAGGUAUACGGUACCAGUUCAAGCUUACAAGUACAAUGCAAAAGGGCGUCAACUGACACUUGAUCGAUUCCUGUUUAUUCGUCCAAAUAGCGUAUAUAACUUAAGAAGAAUGGGGCUCUUGCCACAGCAGCUCGAGCAAUAAUGUACAAAGAUAUGCAGCUGGAGUGGACAAUUUGCCACUGCCUCUCAACAGAUUGAGCUGCUGCCAUGGCGCUAAUUCACGACACAGUUGGCGAUCUCAGCGAUAGGGAAGGAGCUAAGCGAAGGAUUAAAAAGAAAAUGGGAAUCAGAGUAUGUAUACACGGUGUAGAAAAAUUGCUUCCUGGCCUCAGUUUUGGGUCUUCUCCACCUUGGCCUUGAUCUUCUGCUCAAUGAUCGCCUUCUCGGUGUCGAGGCUGAACAUCCGGUUAAGGGCAUGCAUGUUCUCAAGCGUCUCAUCGAGGGUGCGGCUAUCGCUGCCAUCGCACCUCAAGUGCUGCAGCGGGCCAUGGAGGAGCUUGUUCACGAUGCCAGUGCUCAGCUCCUCGAUGGCUCUCCGCAUCUUCUUGUUAAGAUUGUCUUCACCGAUCUUCUGAAGGCACUUCUCGAGCUCUGAGGCCCGGAUCCUGUCAGCAUAUGACCUCAACUUCUUGAUGGUCGGCACGGUCUCCAGUGAGUCCCUCCAUGCCUCAAACCGUUUCAGUUCUUGGGUGAUGAUUGUCUGCGCUUCCAUUGCUUUCCUGAGACGGUCCUCCUUGUUGGCUUCCACCACCUCUUUCAAGUCGUCAACAUUGUAUACUCGUGCGGAACCAACUUCAGACACACAAGCACUGACAUUUCUCGGGACAGAUAUGUCGACAAACAGACGGACACCACCCAUUGUAUCAGAAAUAGGGGGGAGUGCCUCUGCGUGCUCCUUUGUGAACAAUGGGGUUUCAGAUGCAGUGCUCGUGAACACAACAUCAGCUUCAGCAGCAGCUUCAUACAUCUCUGAUAGAGGCCUGUACACAAUCUCGAUAUCUUUCAUCUCCUCGCAAAUGGCAUCCACCCUUUCCACCGAGCGGUUCACCACAACAACCUUCUUGCAUCCUUUGGCAAUGAGAUGCUUGAUCACUAAUUUGCCCAUCUUACCAGCACCAAUCAGCAGCAUUCUACCUGACAGGGCUUCAGUCUUUGGAAGCUUCAUCAGGGCCAAUUCAACAGCAGCUGAACUGACAGAAACCGCACCAGAUGAUAUGUUGGUCUCACAUCGGACACGCUUCCCAGCUGUGAUUGCAUCCUUGAACAUCCUAUCAAUGUUCUUUCCCAGGCCUCCACUGUUUUGCCCACUCCUUACAACUUGCUUAACUUGAGCAAGGAUUUGUCCUUCACCGAGAACCAAAGAGUCAAGCCCUGCUGAUACCUCAAACAGAUGGCGUGUGGCAUCACUGUCACGCAACAUGAACAGGUGCUCCCUGAGCUCAGAAGCAGGAAUGCCACUUUUCUGUAAAACCAAAAAAAUGCACACAUCAGGGCGUCUUUCCCAAAUGGAGUCCUUGAGCAACCAAAAGGGAAAGCUGGAAAAAAAAAAAGAAGACUGGAUGGAACAAAUAUAGUUGAUCAGACUCUCACCUUUGACAUCCAGUCUACUACUUCUCUGAUACCACGGUUCCAUGACAGAGCCACCACAUAAAUUUCCAUUCUAUUGCAGGUACUAAGAACAGCAGCCUCUUCAAUAUGGUUAAGAUUUGUGAGUUCUUGAAUAGCACGAGGCCAUAGUUCCUCUGCAACCGCAAGUUUUUCACGCAUCUCCACUGGUGCUGUGUGUACACUGAGGCCUAUCACAGCUAUGCUACUCCUUUCUUUCAUGUACCCUGGUAGUGGAUAUAAAAGUUAAGACAUUAUCAAACAUGGCACACUGCACAGAGAAAAUCUGUUUCUAGUAGAAGUAAACUGAAUAUAGCUGCAUCAAUGUUAUUGCUUGAAGUUCCAUAGAUAUUUUAUUGAAGCAAAUUCUAUGUGGAGAAUUUCACGUGUUUACACUAGAUGAGUAUGACCAAAACGAGAGAGACUCAAUUUUUUUCAGUGCAAAAUGCUUGACAUCUUUGUUGUCCAAAUUAGAUUUCUCUUUCCUAAGGACAACGCAGUUCUGUAUGCAUUCACUAUCAUUUGUCUGGCUACCACAUGUUAUUUUGGUGGAUAUAAACACAGAUAACACCACCAAUUUGUGAAGCAUUGGCUCCACAAUCAGUUAGCCCUUGAACAAAUCCCCCAAAAUAACUUGCCAAAUUCACUAGUGGCUGCUUGACUCGGUUCAGAAAGGAAACCAAUUAAUGUUUCAAUUGGAAUGCCGGGCAGUUUCCUCAUCCCCAUGACCAAUUCCAAAUGACACAAGCCAACUCCUCUCUGAUGCCACACGACCUGGUCUCCGACUCCACAUACUAAUCUUACUCAACUCAUGUAACUAGGCUGUGAAAAUUUCUAACGAACGGCAGUAACAUGGAAAAUUCAAGUUAAGCUUGGUGAAGGAAAAAAUUGCGACAGGAAAACGCAAAGUUUCACACCCAUCCCUUUUUCUUCCCCAAACAACCCACACCUUUUGACCUGUACCAAACCAAAACUAAUCCCAACUGCAGCAGUAACCUCGACGCGACGCCAAAGAUUCCUCAAAUCGCGCACAAGAAAAUCACUUCACCAGGCCGCCACAAUCCCCGCAUCCCAGGAUUACAGGAAAGGAAACAGCGGCGGCGGAUUUGAGGACAGACGAGGGGAAAGGACUCACGGUCGGCGGAGAUCUUGAACUGCUCGAGCGCGGCGAUGCUGGCCGCCUUGGCCACCGCCUGCGCCUGUGCCUCCACGCCGGCAUCGCACCGCACCACCCCGGAGCGCCUCCUACCGCCGGCGGUCACCCUCGGGCAGAGGGCCAACGGCGACCCCCGCGGCUUGGCGGCGGACGCGGCCCCGAAUGCCGCGGCGGCGGCGGUCGCUGACGUCGUGCUCGCCAUCAUCUAGAUCAAGGAAGACAGAAAAGCUGCCUCCUUUCGCAAGGAAACCAAACCAAUGCGACGUGAAUCGCGGGCAGGUAGGCGGAGGGAGGGAGAUACACAGAGAGAGAGAGGCGAGGAGAAACUUCUAUCGCUUCUCUCUCUACCUCUCUCCCGCUUCUAGGAGUGGUUCUUGGUGAGGGUCCUCGGUGAGCGAGGGCGGAGAUGUGGAAUUGGUUUCGGCCUCGCGUUAGCCCGAGGGACGGGAGGGGAUGGAGAGGAGGAAGAAAGGCUCGGCUGCUGCUUGGAGCCAAAGGUUAUGGGAGGGUUGUUGGGUCGCCGGAGCCUAGCGGCAUGGCGUGUGGGGCCCACGCGUGGUGGGGUGCCUUUGGGCUCGGUCUUUGGGUCGGCCCGGAAUUUUCUAUGCUAGAAAGUAUUUUGCGUAAAGCCCCUCCUGAUCAGCAAUUAUUGCAUUAAACUUCUUACUCUCACAAACUGAACUUUGCUAGAUUCUGUGUAUCAUGUACUCCCUCCUUUCCAAAUUGUAGGUCAUUUUGACUUUUCUAAAUUUAUAAAUAUUAUUAUGCAUUUAGACAUAGUGCAUAGCAAAAACUAUGCACCUUCUAACCAAAAUAAACUACAAUUUGAAACAGAGGGAGUACAAACUUAAUUUGAUGAAGUCUAUAUGGAACUCUUCCUUAGUUCAAAGAAACAAGUAUCAUGAUUUACUAAUAGCUCGAUUAUGAGCUAUGACAAUGAACCCGUUCAUGCAUCAAAUCCGCACAUAUAUAAUCAUAUCUCAAUCACGCUUACCACGAAUUUUCAUAUGGUAGUGAGUGCAAAAUGCAAUGUGGAUUUUUCGUGUACAAUACUUUCUGUCCAAAUUCCAUCGAUGCAACGAAAAAUCAACCGUUGGUCGCUGCCUUGUUGGCGUGGCAUGGGAAAAACACAGACCUCCAUAUAACAAUUUUUAGGAAGUUUGAGGAGGCCUUAGCAUCUUUCCCUCCAUGUAUUUUGCUUACAUUUUUUUUAUGCCGCAUGUUGGCACUGGUGGGGUGGGUUAGGCGAGAUGAGCCGGCGGAUGAGAGGGUAGCGGGAGUGUGGUGGCCUCUGGCCUCUGAUUGGCUGCGGCCGCACCCUUCUAUCCACAACCCUUAUCUCUCUCCUCCCUCCGAUCUCUCUGACCCCGGGGCUUUUGUAUGGCCUGCGAGGUGGGCACACGAGUUCGCAUGGCCGCCUCACGCGCAGCCUCGUGUGGAUGAUGGCGAAGCGUGUCGACGUGGUGGCCACACUCUCCUGCCCCCCGGGGCCCUCCUGUCUGUGGCCCUUUCACGUGGAAUAUUCGGCGCCUAUUGGAUCCGUAUGGACGUGGAUUCAUGGACUCGGUCCGUUUAGAACUCGCAGGAUUUUCGUGUUUAAAAAAAAAUUACAUCCAUCAUACAACAACUAGUUAGGUGGGUGCAAAUUAAUCUAACACCUAGUAAAAUGCUCAAUGUAGUACAAUAACUUUAUAGGUGGGUACGGAUUGAUCUAACAACUUGUGAAAUGAUAAAAUUAGUACAAUUUGUAAAUUGGUUCACCUGUAGUCCAAAAUAUUAGAACAACAAUAUAUUAAGCAAGGAUGGACAUGUGAAUUUUCUUUCAGACAAUAAUUCUUAAUUUUUCUGUUAACAAGAGUUAUUAUCAUGAUUAGAUUGUUUCUUCUCAACUAUGUACAUAACUUAUUUGUUCAUUAGUAAAAAUGAAUCAAAUUUUAGAUUUACUCUAUUGGCUUUAUCGAAAGACUAAAGUCCAUAAAAGAGACUCCAUGACCUUUAGGUUUUCACCGCACUUCUGCUCAUGUAUUCAACAUCUGUAUAGAAUCAUAUUUGUUUCUGUUAUUUUAGCUUAUUUUUCUUUUCUAAACAAGUACAUGAAACUUUAAAAAUAUUUAUGCUAAGUUUCUAAAAGAUAAUUUUAGUAUGUAUUAACAUGUUGAUUUUGUUUACCUCAACAAUGUAUAUAAUCAAAUAUGUGAAAACAGUGAAGGUAAACUUUCAAUAUUGUAUACGAAAUUAAAUAUUUUUGUCAAAAUUAAAUUACUAUAUAAAAAUAAUUAAUAUGAAGAUAUAACGUCACUGAAGGUUUUAAUCUUAGCUAAAUGUAUUGACAUUAUCAUGCGAAUAUCAAUAAUAAAAUAAUGCUUAAUAGUUUAUUUUGACUUGAAAAUAAUCUGAUAGGGCAUUAGCAAAUAUGCUGCUUAUUAUAACAUUCAAACUGCAGAUGCACCAAUUGGUCAAGUUAUUAUACUAAUUUGAGCAUUUUAUAAGUUACUAAUUUGAGCAUUUUACCCACCUGUAAAGUUAUUGUACUAGAUUGAGCAUUUUAUAAGUUGUUGAACUAAUUUGUACCCACCUAACAAGUUGUUGUAUGGUGGAUGCAAUUUACUCUUAAAAAAAUCAUUUUCCAGUUUCCGGUAACAGAUCACAUGAAAAUUACAGGUUGAAAAAUAACUUGCCACAUGAAAAUUACAUGUUUAAAAAGAUAAGUAAGUCGGUAACUAGGCCCAAACCUCCAUCUUGGAAUUUUUUUUAAAACGAAUCGGGUAAGAGAGUUACCAAUUAUAUUUAAAAAUAGAAGAAAACCUAGAUUGAGCAAUAAAAAACUACCACAACAACUACUCUCACAACAACAACCAACAGCUUAGGAUUAUGGAGUGUAGUUCAUGUUUCUGAGCAUUUGCAAUUUGGUAAGAUACCCACCUGCCUUAUUUUGCCGCGUCAUUUUUGUUGAGCACGUGUUUAGAGGAUUUGCAUUCUGCCUACUGUCUUUCGUCAAAUCGUCGCGCGGUCUCUAUUGAACCCAUGUUUUGGAGCAAGCUCCAUGGUGAUACCCUUGCUUGGCCGGAUUUUUCCACUAGUACUGUUUUCCGGUAGACCUUUCGGUCGGAGCAUGCAAUUUGAGAGGCUAGGAAGGACAACAUCAAAGCCAACUGUCCCAAGGCUCCUACUUUGGCAGCUAGAAGACGUCUUUGAGUACGUCAGUUACCUGCAUCCUUGUUAAGGAUUACUGGAUGUGCUAAUAACAUGGAGUACUAGUGCUAGAUCUAUUUGGAUAUGCUAUUGUUAAAGUUUAGCUCAUCUAAAAUUUAGCACUUUCAUCCAUUAGCACUCUUGUUUGGAGACCUAGCUAAUGGAUAGAACUAAAGUCCAUAAAAAGUCACUUUUACCCUUUUAUCUCCUCACCUCCUCCCUUUCUCUCUCCCCUUUUUAUCUUUUCACGAGCCAUUAGCACCCAUUAGCUAAUGUUUUUGCACUUUUUUGUGAAGGGCUUCCAUUAGUCCUUCCAUUUGGACGUGCUAAUGCAUUAGCACUUUUCACUCAGGCCUUGUUUAGUUACCCUAAAAUCCUAACUUUAGCACUAUGCAAAAAGAAGAUUCCCCAUCACAUCAAACUUACGGUACAUGCAUGGAGUACUGAAUGUAGACGAAAUCAAGAACUAAUUGCACAGUUUGGUUAUACUUUGUGAGACGAAUCUUUUGAGCCUAAUUAGUCAAUAUUUGGAUAAUAAUUCACAAACACAAACGAAACGCUACAGUAUGCUACAUUGCUGGCGCAUUGAUUUUGGUUGUCCAAAAUCAGGCAACUAAACAAGACCUCAUUAGUCAUGGGAUCCAAACAGACCCACAUCUUUGCAUAAACUAAUCAAGAGACGUUGUACAUGGGAAAGAAAUUCGAACCAGAAAUUGUCAACGCAGCCAGCUCACACCACACUGCUAUUCCGAAAACACAUCACAUGGAGAGAGGAAUACAAUACUACGGUAGUAUAUAGUAUUGUAUUUUGUAGACGAACCUUCGUCAAAAAGAAAAAUCCUUCCGCGGUUGACACCUUCAUGGCGCGCGUUGUACAGCUCUGUUUCUGCACGUUUUAGUUGGGCGCUUGGUUUGUCAAAGCUGGGAUCUUCUGCUCACAAUGACUCAUUCCUUUUCUGCAAGGCAUGUUUGACAGGUCAGCGGAUGCAAGAGAUCCCGGCACAGAAAAUCCCUACUCGUCAAUAAAGCCUUCUCCAUGGACCCAGCUGGUUUGGUAAUGGCUUUGACCGGAGCUUUUCCUCCUCUUCCUUUGAUUCCUCUUUCAUCUGCUAGCUGCAGGCCUUUCCCACUGGACGGCAAAGGCAUGUCAAAUUCUCAGCAUGUGUUCUUUGACGGCUACAGAUUUUUUUGUUCCUUGCAGGCCAUUUAAUUUUUGGUACUUAAAGCAAUAAAAGAAUAAAAUCUCUGCUGUAUUAACCUUUUUUUUCUCGAGGUAUAUUCAUCAUGUGAUUUGCGUAACAAGAUGAUUAAUACAUGAAAACUCGUUAAUUUGGAGGGAAGACGGACAUGAAAUGGACGGUUAAAAAAAAGGAAGGGAAGUGGUAGGAGGGAAUCUUGACCUGCCCCAGCUUAAUGGCAGGAGAGGAAUGGGAAAGGUAAAGACAAGCCGGUAUCAACUUCAAACGCAACCGAACAAUCUUGCGACAUGAUCGUGCGUGACAUACGCCAUGAGAUAUUCAAGAAGAAAGCUUGUUUAGGUUGGUUGUGCGCUGUCCACCCGUCCUUGACAGGCGGAAGUAGUGGAAGUACAUCAGAAAACAAUCCUGAUGCGCUCCCUUUAUUGAGCAAUGAUCGAUGUGUUCUGGAAGCUCAUUCAGCAUUUCAGCUUAAAAUAAAAUAUCCCGAGUCUCUAGAUUCCAUGACUAGAUAUUGUACGACAGGAACAUUUGCACUACUGUGUUUAAUUGGGUUUAGAUGUCAUCUAGGUGAGCAGAAAUGUGCUUGCUGCUUAGCGUCACUCUAUGCAUUUGACAGCUUGUGCUCAUCUAUUAAUCUGGGCAUGAUGCCGCCUGACUGCUUGCUGUGAGUGACUGCUUGCUGUGAUCAAAACUUGAACUUUUACGUCAGUAGCCGGUUCCAUGAUGAAAAAAUUGCAAAUAGAUGGUGGCCUACAAGAGGAUGAGUCUCGCCAGUGCCUCUGCGUUGAGUCACUACCUUGUAGGACCGGGUGGGAACUCAACUGCAUAGGAUCCGUGUCCCUACAAGAGAGGACUCAUGAGCCCAAGCAGGCCAGGCGGACCAGGAUCGGGUGCAGUAGCUACUACCACUGCAAGCUAAGCAGUGGUACUGUAGCAGCACGGGUCCACACGCAGGGAGAGGAAUGGAUGGUGUACUGUUCAACUGCACUGUUCACUACUACCAUGUGGUACUGUGCCGAUGAAUACAGUAUCAGAACCCAGUAGCAGCCGAUCCUGACCGUGCAUCACUGAAAGUGGACGGCUCAGAUCGCAUGCAGUGCUAACAUAGGGGUGUUUGGGAUCGAAUGUUUGGAACUGCUGAAUUUUCAGACACAAAGAAUCAUCGGUGCUAACCAUCAUGGCACGCUACUACUUCUUUUUUACAGUUGAAAUAGGCAUUAUGCCUGUUCAUUAAAAAAAUGAGCCCAACCAAGCCGGGAGUAAAGCCAGGGAUCCUCCAAUAUAUGAUCCUCAAAGAGAAACCUUAAAUUUAAACAUUUAUUUUGUUGGACGCUUCCUCAAGGAGAAAGCACCCUCCAAAAAUUGGGGUAUGCUGCUUAUUGUGGCGUGCACACGGUAUUCUUUAGUAAAAGGCGAAAGAAUAGUUCGCUUUGUGCUCACCACGCAGCUGCUUGAGUUCUAAUCCAUCAGCUGCCGCUCUACAAGACGUGUGAUCGCUGGGUAAUCACCUUGAGACUAAGCAGGGUGGGACUAACACGGGUUGCGUUGAGCUGCUUUGCCACAUUGCUAACACCCUCCCGCAUGGGCCGCAGAGCACAGAACUCCUGGCAUUAUUGGGUCAGCCUUGUAGCCCAAUAAAGAUGGAUUGGGCUGCUUUGCUGACUGAUCACACGUGGUGACGUAGAUCCGGGAAACGCUCUUCUUCUCACGGCGAUGAUUAGACAUCCGUCGCCUGCAGCCCUGCGGGAAGUUUUGGAGGUGUUUGAUAUCCCACUAAACUUUAUCACCUAUCACAUUGGAUAUUUGAAUACUAAUUAGUAGUAUUAAAUAUACUCUAAUUAUAAACUAAUUGCAUAGGUGAAGUCUAAUUCGCGAGACAAAUCUAUUAAACCUAAUUAGUUCAUGAUUUGACAAUAUGAUGCUACAGUAACCAUUACUAAUGAUGGAUUAAUUAGUUUUUAAUAGAUUUAUCUCGCGAAUUAAACUCCAUUUGUACAAUUAAUUUUAUAAUUAGCUCAUAUUUAGUCCUUCUAAUUAGCAUCCGAACAUGUGACUAUGCUAAAAUUUAGCAUCAUGUAUCCAAACAGCUAGCCUAUUUACUUUUCUAGCUGGUCUGUUUUUGCUAGGUGGGCACGUGCUAUUAAUAAUAGUCUCCUGACGGUCAGCAGCACGCAGCCGCAUCUUAACUUUUCUUUUUCUUUUUCUUUCUUGUUUGUUUUUUUUUCUGUUUUUUCUUUUUCGAAUUGUUUUACGGAAAUUCCUUCUCAAGUGUAUUCUAUUUCUCAUCUUGCACGGACCAAUUCUUUGUUUCUAUUUAUUUUUCCUUUUUAAGUAUAUAUAAUGCUUUUAUUUAUUUGUAUUUUCAUAAUUCAUGUUCCUUUCCUUAUUUUUCUAUACACUACGUCUCCUGUUGCUGUACAUCAAUAUUUGAUUUUUCUUUUUUCAUGUUCCAUUAUUACUUUAAUCCUUUAUUUCAUUUGAGUUUCCAUAUUCCCAAUCUAUUUUUUUUCAUUUUUACGUAUUUCCUCCUUUUGUAUUUUUUUGUUAGUUUUCAUUCUUCCCAUAGUUCCACAAUGUGUUUGUCCUAGUGCGCAAAUCUUUAUAUCAUGUGUUCAUACAUUCUUUGUAUAUGUUUAAUUUUUUAUUUAUUUUACAUUAUUCCAUACUUCUCCCAUGUCCAUAAUAUAUUUGUUGUAUAAUUUAGUUUGCCUGUAUAAAUAUUUUUUUAAUAAGGUUGUUAAAUUUGCUCCUUAUCUAUAGAAUUUUGUUCCUUGAGUUUGUAUAAUUUGUUCAGAUGAUUGGUUAUGGACUGAGUUUAUAUAAUUUGUUCCAUACAUAUAAUUUUUUGUUUCGUGAAUUCGUAUAAUUUGUUCUGAGUCUAUACAUUUUUAUUUUUUUAUAUAUAUUCAUAUAAUUUGUUCGAGGUGUGCAACUACUUUGUUCUGUGAGUUCGUAUAAUUGUUUCAGAGAUGUUGGGGGGAAAUAUUAAUGACCUCAUAAAGCCCAUGAAAACAACAAAUCAUAAAGGUCCAAGCCCGUCUAAGGCGAUAAAGACUGCCGUCGGCCCAACACGGGAGGAGAGAGCCACGCUCCGCCUCGCCCGACCCCGACGUCCCGGGAUCAGACGCUCCCGACCCCCCGCCGCAAGACUCCGCCUCGCCCGACCCAGGGCACAGGGGAUCGGACUCACCGGGGCCCACCAGACAAGUAUCCGCCUCGGGCGCGGGUCUCGUGGGUCCCCCUGUCGAUCUCGCCAUAAAUGCGUCACAGUUCUGACACGCAGAAAGGCGCUCGUGCCCCCGACGCAACCCGCCACAAGUACCCUUGCGCGGCCAGGCAACAGUGGCUGCGGCCUCCUCCGAUUCUCCUCCGAUUCGCUACAGGGCACUCAUGGCCUGCGUCGCCCGAAGCAGGAGGAAGCCUCGCCCGUUCUCGCGCCCCGCGCAUCCGGCGACAGAGACGUGACGUCUGCCUUCCGCGGGCCGUCCGCAAGAUGGCAGGAUCAGCCGCCUUCCCCAACGGACACAGGUGCCACGACGAAACACCAUCAUCACGCCUGGCGGCAACAGCCACCAAGGAGACCAUCGACAGGACUCAACGGCGGCCGCCCUCUUCCAGCGGACACGCCGGCGGGAGCCGAAGACCGGAGAGGAUGCCGGCGGCCUAGGGACUUGGUCCCUCCCCUUGUGUUGUAUCUUACUUGACUUAGUUUAUCUCUUUUACUUCUCCUCACACCCGGUUUCACUUGUAACCCCGGUGGCCUCCUUGCACUAUAAAAGGAGAACCGGGGGCCCUGAGACAGGGGGACUCUCAGAAGCCAACAGAACCCUCUCACUCUCAUUUAGAGCAUCAGUGCACACCCAAGAGACUUGGGACCAGCUCCCUCUCUCGCCCUCCUGUAACCCCUACUACAUACCCCGCGUGGGCAACACGAGCAACUCCCGAUACUAGACGUAGGGCUCUUCCUUGUCCGAACCAGUCUAAACCCCAUUUCUCCCACGCCACCAUCCAAAGCCUUACGCGCAUAAAAGAAAUUUACUAGUCGUAGUCUUGAUCCGCUAAUCUUGACAACAACAAGAGAUACAUAUCAUAAAAUUUUACCUUCAUAAAAGAUAUAUCCAUAAAUAAAUUUCAUCCAAAUAUAGUUGAGUGUUUAUUCUGAAGAUCUUGUUGUAAUAAGAUUAAUAGUGCAAUCGGAAUUUAAUUUAGAUGGUCGGUUUAAGAAUUAUGUUUUUUUUUAAAAUUUUGAACACCCCUUCACAUGUGGACGAUGUCAUUAAUUUCGUCUUUUCUACAUGCAUCCACGUGAAGUUUACUCCUUUCGAACGGGCUCCUUACCGCUUUUUAAGCCUAACUUGGCUCGCUUUACCGAUGCGGACAACUUUUUUAGCCUAAUAUAGGCCGUCCUACUGCUGUGAAUACAUGAUGUCUUAAUUAAUCCGGAAAACUCUUCGGAAAGGUAGGAAGGCAUUGAAUCUUCUAGUAUUUGAGAUUCAUGCAAGUAAUGAGUUCCAUAAGAUCUACAUCAAAUCUAAACCCUAUCUCCCUCCGCUGCUUGCGCCGCGGCCCCCUUGCCACGGUUGCCACCCCUCCCUCCCCUACCACCACCCCUCACGCGGGCCCCGCCACCCUCGCCGGAUUCAACUUUUUUUUGAAAAAAAUAUUGGUGCAACUUUUUUUUUCAAAAAAUGUUAGAUUCAACUUUUUCUAAAGAAAUGUUGGCUCAACUUUUUUCGAAUAAAUGUUGGUUCAACUUUGUUUUCCGAAGAAAUGUUGGUCCAACUUUUUUGAAAAAAAUGUUGGUCCAACUUUUUUGAAAAAAUGGGAAGAAGAUAGUUGAGAUGGAUCUUGGUGGGUUGGAAGAUAAGGCAGAAAUCUUACGAGUUUGAUUUCUCUGACAGCGAAGUGUUGCGGUCCGCUGAAUUUCACUCACGUGGCACGAAAAUUUCAUGGAAAAGCCGUGCUUUUUGUUCGUUUGUAUGAAGACAAAAAGCAAUGACAGAACUCACCACUGAUGGACGUCUGCAUGUGCACUGUGACCUUUGAGACAAACUCUUGGACCUAAUAACCAUGCAAGACUAAAAUGAUCGAUCAGUAAUUCAGAAUGAUACGGAGCACUCUGUGCUCUUCUGUACCGGCAAAGCAGUGCAAUGCGUGUCUUUUAGCACUAGUCAAGGACACGUCAUGACUUGGCACACUAGCAGAGUAUGACCAUGUGAAUCAGAGUGUGUUUCUUUUUUGGCAAACCAAUUGUUCUUCGAGAUUCACGGAGCCAAGGGCCAACGAAGGAAAAAAAUUGCAAAAAGAUGGUGGUCUGCCAGAGAGGGCGCAUGGGCCUAAGCGGGACUGAAGCGCAGCGGCCCGUUAUCCUUCCACCGUUGGAAGCGGGCGGUAUUCGCUGCUCUGUGAAGCCAGCCUCACGCAUUGCCCGCCGCUCUAGGUGCCGGGACGCCAAGGCCUUCGCCGAAGCACCCACGGCCCACUACGCAACUUGGAACGGGCGGGCCGCAGAUUGCGGCAGCAGACCCAGGCCCAAGCGCCACAAUUGGCAUCCGCACCACCUUAAUGCCCCCGCUCGGGUUACAAGCAGGCGCUAGCUGCUCGGCGAGUGAGGCGCGG